rnacentral:rRNA from 1 species
ACUCCUGCGGGAGGCAGCAGUGAGGAAUAUUGGACAAUGGGUGGAAGCCUGAUCCAGCCAUCCCGCGUGCAGGAAGACGGCCCUAUGGGUUGUAAACUGCUUUUAUCUGGGGAUAAACCUACUUACGUGUAAGUAGCUGAAGGUACCAGAAGAAUAAGCACCGGCUAACUCCGUGCCAGCAGCCGCGGUAAUACGGAGGGUGCAAGCGUUAUCCGGAUUUAUUGGGUUUAAAGGGUCCGUAGGCGGACUGAUAAGUCAGUGGUGAAAUCCGACAGCUUAACUGUCGAACUGCCAUUGAUACUGUUAGUCUUGAGUAAGGUUGAAGUGGCUGGAAUAAGUAGUGUAGCGGUGAAAUGCAUAGAUAUUACUUAGAACACCAAUUGCGAAGGCAGGUCACUAAGUCUUAACUGACGCUGAUGGACGAAAGCGUGGGGAGCGAACAGGAUUAGAAACCCUUGUAGUCCCAUG